UACGUAGGGUGCGAGCGUUGUCCGGAAUUAUUGGGCGUAAAGAGCUUGUAGGCGGUUUGUCGCGUCUGCUGUGAAAUCUCAAGGCUCAACCUUGAGCUUGCAGUGGGUACGGGCAGACUAGAGUGUGGUAGGGGAGACUGGAAUUCCUGGUGUAGCGGUGGAAUGCGCAGAUAUCAGGAAGAACACCCGUGGCUAAGGCGGCUCUCUAGUACGGUACUGACGCUGAGACGCGAAAGCGUGGGGAGCGAACAGG
rnacentral:rRNA from 1 species